rnacentral:rRNA from 1 species
GUCUCCUACGGGGCGCAGCAGUGGGGGAUAUUGCACAAUGGGGGGAACCCUGAUGCAGCGACGCCGCGUGGGCGAUGGAGUGCUUCGGCAUGUAAAGCCCUCUCAGCAGGGAAGAAAAUGACGGUACCUGACUAAGAAGCCCCGGCUAACUACGUGCCAGCAGCCGCGGUAAUACGUAGGGGGCAAGCGUUAUCCGGAUUCACUGGGCGUAAAGGGAGCGCAGGCGGCAUGGCAAGUCUGAUGUGAAAACCCGGGGCCCAACCCCGGGAGUGCAUUGGAAACUGCCAGGCUGGAGUGUCGGAGGG